rnacentral:rRNA from 1 species
CCCUUAGAUGUCCUGGGCCGCACGCGCGUUACACUGAUGCAUUUAACGAGCUUAUAACCUUGGCCGAGAGGCCUGGGCAAUCUUGUUAACGUGCAUCGUGAUAGGGAUAGAUUAUUGAAAUUAUUAAUCUUGAACGAGGAAUUCCUAGUAAACGCAGAUCAUCAAUCUGCAUUGAUUACGUCCCUGCCCUUUGUACACACCGCCCGUCGCACCUACCGAUUGGAUGGUCCGGUGAAGCCUCGGGAUUGUGGUUCUUGCCGCUUUAUUGUGGCGUGACCGCGAGAACUUGUCUAAACCUUAUCAUCUAGAGGAAGGUGAAGUCGUAACA